rnacentral:rRNA from 1 species
UGGGGAACAACACCGGGAAACCGGUGCUAAUACCGCAUGACGUCCCGGGGAGACAUCUUCCUGGGACCAAAGGAGAAAUCCGCUGAGGGAUGGCCUCGCGUCCGAUUAGCUAGUUGGCGGGGUAACGGCCCACCAAGGCAUCGAUCGGUAGCCGAACUGAGAGGUUGAUCGGCCACAUUGGGACUGAGACACGGCCCAGACUCCUACGGGAGGCAGCAGUGGGGAAUAUUGGGCAAUGGGGGGAACCCUGACCCAGCAACGCCGCGUGAAGGAUGAAGGCCUUCGGGUUGUAAACUUCUUUGACCGGGGACGAAACAAAUGACGGUACCCGGAGAACAAGCCACGGCUAACUACGUGCCAGCAGCCGCGGUAAUACGUAGGUGGCGAGCGUUGUCCGGAAUUACUGGGUGUAAAGGGCGCGUAGGCGGAUCUGCAAGUCGGAUGUGAAAUUCCCGGGCUCAACCCGGGCGCUGCAACCCGAAACUGCGGAUCUGGAGUGCCGGAGAGGAAAGCGGAAUUC